rnacentral:rRNA from 1 species
UGGGGAAUUUUGGACAAUGGGCGCAAGCCUGAUCCAGCCAUGCCGCGUGCAGGAAGAAGGCCUUCGGGUUGUAAACUGCUUUUGUCAGGGAAGAAAUCCUUUGGGUUAAUACCUCGAAGGGAUGACGGUACCUGAAGAAUAAGCACCGGCUAACUACGUGCCAGCAGCCGCGGUAAUACGUAGGGUGCGAGCGUUAAUCGGAAUUACUGGGCGUAAAGCGUGCGCAGGCGGCUUUGCAAGACAGAUGUGAAAUCCCCGGGCUCAACCUGGGAACUGCAUUUGUGACUGCAAGGCUAGAGGGCGGCAGAGGGAGAUGGAAUUCCGCGUGUAGCAGUGAAAUGCGUAGAUAUGCGGAGGAACACCGAUGGCGAAGGCAAUCUCCUGGGCCUGCACUGACGCUCAUGCACGAAAGCGUGGGGAGCAAACAGGAUUAGAUACCCUGGUAGUCCACGCCCUAAANGAUGUCAACUGGUUGUUGGACGGCUUGCUGUUCAGUAACGAAGCUAACGCGUGAAGUUGACCGCCUGGGGAGUANGGCC